GUAUGUGUGUGUGUGUGUGUGUGUGUGUGUUUGUGUGUGUGUGUGUGUGUGUGUGUGACAUCCACACACACACACACACACACACACACACACACACACACACAUAUAUACAUAUAUAUAUAUGUAUAUAAAUAAUAUAUCAUAUAUACAUAUAUAUAUAUAUAUAUAU